rnacentral:SRP_RNA from 1 species
GCCAGGCGUGGUGGUGCAUGCCUGUAAUCCCAGCUACAUGGGAGGCUGAGUCAGGAGAAUUGCUUGAACCCAGGAGGUGGAGGUUGCAGUGAGCCAAGAUUGUGCCACUGCACUCCAGCCUGGGUGACAGAGUGAGACUCAGUCUCAA